rnacentral:misc_RNA from 1 species
UUCCAAUCCGUUUUUACUUCCUUAUCGUUGCUUUUAAGGAAGUAUAUAAAAUAGUAUAUAUAAGAACGGAAACAAACCCCUGCAAAUACUGUGCAAAAUCUUAGCGUUGAUUUCAAAAAGUGAAUAUUUUGGAUUGUAUUGCUGUUGUAAAAUUAACUUUAAAUUUAUCAGGUGUUCUGUCUCGGAAUGAUACACGAUGAGAACUGUGUAGUUUACCUAUGUAACGUUGGUGGCGCUGCACAAAGUCUGUUUCCCUGUGACCAAGACCCGAAAGAUGCGACAGUGGGUCCAUACACCUGUGAAGUGUGAGGAGAUAGGUCUGGAAAGAAACCCCAAAUACAGAGUAACCCAUGGUUUUACAUGCAAAAUAUGCAAACUAGGAACUUAUUACGACAAACGAACAUUUGAAUUCCGCUGUAGAACUUGCAGGAACUGUACCACUUUAUGGAGAGUCGACAAGGAAAGCCGAUGUACACACAGAUCUGAUGCUGCAUGUGGAGACACAAUAGAGUUCUUGAUUAUACACAAACUACAAGCGUCAUCAGAUGAAGUAAAAACAAGAGCAUAUCAAGACCUGUCAUCUCAAAACGUUAUACUCCUCAUUUUACUGAGUCUUCUGACGCUUCUCCUCAUCACCACCAUUUUUGCAGUCCUAUGCCGAGCUUACAAUCGCGCAUCCAUGCGGCACUGCAUUAAGGACGCUACAAGGAGAAGUGGACACAAGGAGACUCUUCAAUGUCAGAACAACUUUCAACCAACGAUCUUUCAACCUUUUUCGUCAUCAGAGUCAACAGCAAUCGACAUAGAUGUUCCGAAAGAUAACGGAGAGACGCGUCCAAAAGGAACAACGCACAAUGCUCAGCGCAACGUUGUAGAAAAUGAACGAAGGAACAGACCCCCAACUUUACACCUAUCCUCGGGGUCUACCAUAGAGCCCGAGUUCAAUUGUAGCUCGUGGAACUUGGCUGCUUCCGAUUUAUUAUCAAUAACACAGUUCACCGUUGGGAACACGAAUAUUGCCCUUUCACGUUCUGUCAUUUGUCAGUUCAGCGACAGGCGUUCUGAACCUGGCAACGAAGACGAAUCCUUGGAUAUGUUAUCUCAGUUUUCCUCUGUUUUAGAAUUAAGAUAUAAGCCUUUAGAAAUGAUGGAGGAAAACAAAAGUGACAUAACAUGAACAUGUUUAGCUGGUUUAUGCGGUUCUAUUUUGGUCGUAUAUUGAAAUAGUUACAUCAAACAGGAUUUUUUUUUUAAGAUAGGUGCUUACUGACUGGCUACGGAAAUAUAUCUUGUUUAUCAAUUUCAUCCUACCUCCAAUGUUUUGGAGGUCCGUGUUGGCUCAAGGUUUGUAUUUUGACCACCACAAACAAACAAAAUCAUCAACGUUUCGUUUUUCCCUAUUAUGACACUUUCCCGAUUUUGACAUUUACCUCGAUUAUGACAUGUCCAGUUGUGACAAGGAGCAUACGGCGGGUGCGACCGGUCAGCAGAGGAUGCUCACUCCUCCCAGGCACCUGAUCCUACCUCUAUCUUUUUAGAGGUCCGUGUUGCUCUGCUUUAAAUUUUUACUUCGUUUUAUGGGUUUUUGAGAUGGUCGACAGUUUGUUAUUGUCAUUUUUCACAGACGGCGAAGAUUUUCACCGCGCCGUCUUUCAGAUUAUCAUCUCGAUAUAUUUCCGUUCUCAAUUCAUUUUCUCCAGUAAGACUUUUAGCUGAAACAUUUAUUCACAAAAAGCGAUUAUCUACGUAAAUCCACGCACAUGAUGAAUGACCAUCUUUAAGUUAUCCUUAAAGGUGGCUUAAAGAUGCUUAAAGGUAGCUUAAAGACGGUCUCUCUGCCACCUUAAAGCUACCUUUAAGUUUCAAUGUGGCUUACACGUGUACAUAUAAGCUUAUAUAACUUAAACGUAACAUGACCCUACAUCCGUCCAAUUUUACAAAGUUUGAAUAUUACAAGUCUCACUUUUUAUGUUAGUUCACUUAAGUUGAAAGCUCAAGUGAGCUUUUCUGAUAAAUUUUAGCCCGGUGUUCGUCUGUCUGUCCGUUUGUAAUUAUUAUUUUUUAUUUUUGAAGUCACCUUCAGAAACACUGGGUUUAGUUUAAUUAACAUUUUUCAUGCACAUCAAUUUUUUCAAAUGACAAAGACAUAUUUUUUUAUAGCCUCCGCUACAAUUUUGAAAAUGUCUACAUCUAAUUUGCCGCAAAAGAGGUCAAUGCAUUAUAAGAAAAGGUAUUUUAUGAUUUAAUAUAAAAAGAAACUUUUAUAUUAAGUUGUGAUUUAAGAUAAUAUUCUGUUUGUUAAAUAAUAUUUGUUAUAAAUUUUAACUCUUUAUGUCCGGAAGUUCUGCUCUCUGGAUUUACAAAUAUUUGGGCAAUGUUUUAAUUUUUUUUCUUUAGUUUAAAUGUUUUUCUACGUUGAUUUAGUUUUAUAUUGUUGAAGCUAGUAAAUUUAAUAAAUAUU